rnacentral:tRNA from 1 species
AGUAGGGUAAGCUAACACUAAGCUGUUGGGCUCAUAACCCAAAAAUAGAUCACUCUUCCUACUG